rnacentral:rRNA from 1 species
AGAGUUUGAUCAUGGCUCAGGAUGAACGCUAGCGGCAGGCUUAAUACAUGCAAGUCGAGGGGCAGCAGGGGUGUAGCAAUACGCUCGCUGGCGACCGGCAAACGGGUGCGGAACACGUACGCAACUUACCCAAAACUGGGGAAUAGCCCGGGGAAACCCGGAUUAAUACCUCGUAACAUUAUAGAGUGGCAUCACUUUAUGAUUAUAGCUCAGGCGGUUUUGGAUGGGCGUGCGGCUGAUUAGGUAGUUGGCGGGGUAACGGCCCACCAAGCCUGCGAUCAGUAACUGGUGUGAGAGCACGACCAGUCACACGGGCACUGAGACACGGGCCCGACUCCUACGGGAGGCAGCAGUAAGGAAUAUUGGUCAAUGGACGCAAGUCUGAACCAGCCAUGCCGCGUGGAGGAUGAAGGCCCUCUGGGUUGUAAACUUCUUUUAUAUGGGACGAGACCCCCGAAUUCUUUCGGGACUGACGGUACCAUAGGAAUAAGCACCGGCUAACUCCGUGCCAGCAGCCGCGGUAAUACGGAGGGUGCAAGCGUUAUCCGGAUUCACUGGGUUUAAAGGGUGCGUAGGAGGGCAGGUAAGUCAGUGGUGAAAUCCCCGAGCUUAACUUGGGAACUGCCGUUGAUACUAUCUGUCUUGAAUAUUGUGGAGGUGAGCGGAAUAUGUCAUGUAGCGGUGAAAUGCUUAGAUAUGACAUAGAACACCAAUUGCGAAGGCAGCUCGCUACACAAAUAUUGACUCUGAGGCACGAAAGCGUGGGGAUCAAACAGGAUUAGAUACCCUAGUAGUCC